rnacentral:misc_RNA from 1 species
GAUGAAGAACGCAGCGAAAUGCGAUACUUGGUGUGAAUUGCAGAAUCCCGUGAACCAUCGAGUCUUUGAACGCAAGUUGCGCCCGAAGCCAUCAGGCCGAGGGCACGCCUGCCUGGGCGUCACACGCCGUUGCCCCCCCGCGCCCCGCACCCAACGCUUUGGGAGCGACCGCGGGGCGGGCUGAUGAUGGCCUCCCGUGCGCUCCGCCGCGCGGUUGGCCCAAAUACCGAGUCCCCGGCGACGUGCGCCACGACGAUCGGUGGUUGAGAGACCUCUGUCGCAAGUCGUGCGCGCCCGUCGCGUCACGCGGGCUCGCAUAGCGCCUCGCGCCGCACCCGGUGCGGAGCUUUCAACGCGACCCCAGGUCAGGCGGGGUUACCCGCUGAAUUUAAGCAUAUCAAUAAGCGGAGGA